rnacentral:rRNA from 1 species
CGAACGCUGGCGGCGUGCUUAACACAUGCAAGUUGCGCGAGAAAGCUACCUUCGGGUAGUGAGUAAAGCGGCGAACGGGUGAGUAACGCGUGGGUUACCUACCUCUAAGUUAGGGAUAACUUCUCGAAAGGGAAGCUAAUACCUAAUAUUCUAAAGAUGGCUCUGCUAUCGCUUAGGGAUGGGCCCGCGUCCCAUUAGCUUGUUGGUAGUGUAAGAGACUACCAAAGCAACAAUGGGUAGCCGACCUGAGAGGGUGAUCGGCCACACUGGGACUGAGACACGGCCCAGACUCCUACGGGAGGCUGCAGUGGGGAAUCUUCCGCAAUGAGCGAAAGCUUGACGGAGCAACGCCGCGUGAGUGAUGAAGGCCUUCGGGUCGUAAAGCUCUGUCCUAAGGGAAGAACACCUCAGUAGAUAACAUCUGCUGGGAUUGACGGUACCUUUGGAGGAAGCCUCGGCUAAUUACGUGCCAGCAGCCGCGGUAAUACGUAAGAGGCAAGCGUUGUCCGGAAUCACUGGGCGUGAAGGGUGCGCAGGCGGUCUAGUAAGUCAAGAGUGAAAUCCAUCGGCUCAACCGGUGAACUGCUUUUGAAACUACUAGACUUGAGAAUAGGAGAAGAGAGUGGAAUUCCUGGUGUAGUGGUGAAAUACGUAGAUAUCAGGAAGAAUACCAAUGGCGAAAGCAGCUCUCUAGCCUAAUUCUGACGCUGAGGUACGAAAGCUAGGGUAUCAAACGGGAUUAGAUACCCCGGUAGUCCUAGCUGUAAACGCUGGAUACUAGGUGUUGGGGGUUCAACUCCCUCAGUGCUGCAGUUAACGCGUUAAGUAUCCCGCCUGGGGAUUACGACCGCAAGGUUGAAACUCAAAGGAAUUGACGGGGGCCCGCACAAGCGGCGGAGCAUGUGGUUUAAUUCGAAGCAACGCGCAGAACAUUACCAGGGUUUGACAUCCUAUGACCAUCUGUGAAAGCAGAGUUUGGCUCUUUGAGUCACAUAGUGACAGGUGGUGCAUGGCUGUCGUCAGCUCGUGUCGUGAGAUGUUGGGUUAAGUCCCGCAACGAGCGUAACCCCUGUUCUUAGUUGCCAGCACGUAAUGGUGGGGACUCUAAGGAGACUGCCAUAGAAAAAAUUGGGAGGAAGGUGGGGAUGACUUCAAGUCAUCAUGCCCCUUAUACUCUGGGCUACACAC